CCUACGGGCGGCAGCAGUGAGGAAUAUUGGUCAAUGGACGAGAGUCUGAACCAGCCAAGUAGCGUGAAGGAUGACUGCCCUAUGGGUUGUAAACUUCUUUUAUAUGGGAAUAAACUGUUCCACGUGUGGGAUUUUGUAUGUACCAUAUGAAUAAGGAUCGGCUAACUCCGUGCCAGCAGCCGCGGUAAUACGGAGGAUCCGAGCGUUAUCCGGAUUUAUUGGGUUUAAAGGGAGCGUAGGUGGAUUGUUAAGUCAGUUGUGAAAGUUUGCGGCUCAACCGUAAAAUUGCAGUUGAAACUGGCAGUCUUGAGUACAGUAGAGGUGGGCGGAAUUCGUGGUGUAGCGGUGAAAUGCUUAGAUAUCACGAAGAACUCCGAUUGCGAAGGCAGUUCACUGGACUGCAACUGACACUGAGGCUCGAAAGUGUGGGUAUCAAACAGGAUUAGAUACCCGAGUAGUC
rnacentral:rRNA from 1 species